GAAAUUGCUUCUGCCCAAUGUCAUUGAGGUAGGUAGGAUUCUUUUUUAUUUUAUUUAUUUAUUUUUUUGAGGUAGGAUUCUUAUAGGACAUCUGAGCUAAGCUAUGAUUGGUCACUGGCUCAUUCUGUAAAGGUGAAAUAGGGAUGAGGAGGGACAGUUGCCAUUACCUCAUAUGUGAGCCUUUGCAGAGUACGUUAUAGACUUCCUUUUGUCACUAUUUAAGUUUUCAAACCAAAUUAAAUGGGAAAGAAAUGGAUGUAGGUAAGCACAGUACUAGCCACCCCCACCUUUACCUCCUGUCCAAUGUUAAGGUAGCAGUCAAUGGCCAGCACAGGACUCUUAAAGUUAUGGAUGGCUUUGGGGAAGAGUUUAUAUGCAGCAUGCUGAAGGAACUUCUCCAGGAGAAACUGCGCAGGGGCUGCCAGUAACGUGUGUUCACUGUCGGGUGCACAGACAUACUGAAGGGGCAAGAUGGGAGCUAAACUCUCCGACACCUGAAAUCAAGAGCCAAGGUAAUCAUAGGAAAUGUUGUGUCUGUUACUAGAUGAAAUGUCCAAGGACACAUUGUAUUGCAUCCUAAUAUUUCCAGAUACUAUUCCCCCAUAUUCAAGAGGGUUAUGUUACAAGGCCCUCAAUCGAUGCCUGAAAUCCUAGAUGGUAUCAAAUUCUGUGUACACUGUUUUCUUUUAUACAUAAUUACCUGUGGUAAAGUUCAAUUUAAAAAUUAGAGAUUAAUGGGCUGGGGUUGUGGCUCAGCGAUGGAGCACUCGCCUAGCAUGUGCAAGGUCCUGGGUUCGAUCCUCAGUACCACAUAAAAAAUAAAGAUAAUGUGUCUAACUACAACUAAAAAAAUAUUUUUUUUAAAAAAGAGGUUAACAGCAAUAAUGCAGUGGGACAGUUCAGUAGUGUACUUACUGUAAUAAAGGUUAUGUGCUCUCUUGACAAUCAAGACAGAUACUAAUAUUUUCAAGCCAUGGUUGACCGUGGGUAACUAAAAUUGCAGAUAAUGG
rnacentral:lncRNA from 1 species